CCGGUGCGCCCCCGGCGGCCCAUGAAAAUCCGGAGGACCGAGUACCGUUCACGCCCGGUCGUACUCAUAACCGCAUCAGGCUUCCAAGGUGAACAGCCUCUGGCCAAUGGAACAAUGUAGGCAAGGGAAGUCGGCAAAACGGAUCCGUAACUUCGGGAAAAGGAUUGGCUCUGAGGACUGGGCUCGGGGGUCCCGGCCCCGAACCCG
rnacentral:ncRNA from 1 species